rnacentral:rRNA from 1 species
UACGGAGGGUGCAAGCGUUAUCCGGAUUUAUUGGGUUUAAAGGGUGCGUAGGUGGAAUUAUAAGUCAGUGGUGAAAUUUUGCGGCUCAACCGUAACACUGCCAUUGAAACUGUAGUUCUUGAGAGAAUUCGAAGUAUGCGGAAUGAGUAAUGUAGCGGUGAAAUGCAUAGAUAUUACUCAGAACACCGAUUGCGUAGGCAGCGUACUAGGAUUUUUCUGACACUGAGGCACGAAAGCGUGGGUAGCGAACAGG